GCAAUAGUGGCACUAGUGCUUGCCUCAUCAGCAUGAGGAUCCGGGUCACACCCAGAGUAGCCAUGGAAAAGUCUGGGCAAGGCGGUGUCUUCCCAGUGCUGGAAGGCAGAGGUUAAGAACCACUGCUAUAUAAAGACAUGGAAGAAAGAAGCUUUUACUCUUGGAUGGCCUGCUCUCCCCUUACUGCUAAGUCCACUCCUUCAGUCAUUAGAGCCUACUUCUUGAGAAUCCCAGUCUACUGAAGACCAGGCUCUUUCAAACCCAUCUGCCCUGCUUUGAGAAGAGGGCGGAACUGUAUUUGGCUGCCCACUCUUCUGUAUGGCCCUGCUUGGGAACCACUGGUUCGAUGGGACUGCACGUUCAGCGGGAGAAUCUAACUUGAAUUGAAAAGAAAACCUAAGGAGUAUCAGUGGAACCUCUGUUUGGCAUCUGACUUUAAUGAAUUAAGAAACAGCCACCUAGGGCCGGGCAUCUUGGUGAACGCCUUUAAUCCCAGCACUCAGGAGGAAGAGGAGGACCUCCCUCCCUGUUGUCUGACCACAGCACCACCAGUCAUCACUGCGAUUCCCAAAAGGCCAUACCAACUCAUGCAAGUCACCAAUCAAGGUUACAUCAUGGACCAGCAAAAUGGGCUCAAUGGUUAAAGGCCCUUCCCCACAAGGUUGGGGACCUGAGUUCAACCAACAUCAACGUGGAAAGAGAACCAGCUUCACAAAAUCUUUUUUCAACGUCUGCCCCCAUGCCAUGGAAUGCGUGUCCUUCCCGAACACACAUCAGAUACUUGUGAGUGUACACAUUAAUACAUCAACUCAUUUAGAAACCCAAGCUAUCACUGGACAUUAUUUUGCAUAUCUGUAGUCCUAGCACUUGGAAGACUGAGGCAAUUUCAUGAGUUUGAGGCUAACCUGGACUAUAUAGCAAGCACCAAGCUACCCAGAGGUCCAUACUAAAACCAUGUCUCAAAAAACAACAAAAAGAACAGUAAAAGGCUUGCCUUGCAAGCACAGAGGCCUGAGGUUGGUCCCUAGUGCCCACCCUUUUGGUCCCAGCACUGAGGAGAUAAAGACAGGUGGAUCCUUGGGGCUCAUUGGCCAACCAGCCUGGCAUAACCAGAAGG